AUUGAACGCUGGCGGCAUGCUUUACACAUGCAAGCCGAGCGGCAGCGCGGGGGGCAACCCUGGCGGCGAGCGGCGAACGGGUGAGUAAUGCAUCGGAACGUACCCUGGAGUGGGGGAUAACGCCGCGAAAGCGGCGCUAAUACCGCAUAUGCUCUGAGGAGGAAAGUGGGGGACCUGCAAGGGCCUCACGCUCUGGGAGCGGCCGAUGUCCGAUUAGCUAGUUGGUGGGGUAAAGGCUUACCAAGGCGACGAUCGGUAGCUGGUCUGAGAGGAUGAUCAGCCACACUGGGACUGAGACACGGCCCAGACUCCUACGGGAGGCAGCAGUGGGGAAUUUUGGACAAUGGGGGCAACCCUGAUCCAGCCAUGCCGCGUGAGUGAAGAAGGCCUUCGG
rnacentral:rRNA from 1 species